UACAGUUUGAUCAUGGCUCAGAUUGAACGCUGGCGGCAUGCUUUACACAUGCAAGUCGAACGGGGUGAGGGGGCAACCNNNCAUUCAGUGGCGAACGGGUGAGUAAUGCAUCGGAACGUGUCCCGUAGUGGGGGAUAACGCCGCGAAAGCGGCGCUAAUACCGCAUAUGCUCUACGGAGGAAAGUGGGGGAUCGCGAGACCUCACGCUAUGGGAGCGGCCGAUGUCCGAUUAGCUAGUUGGUGGGGUAAUGGCUUACCAAGGCGACGAUCGGUAGCUGGUCUGAGAGGAUGAUCAGCCACACUGGGACUGAGACACGGCCCAGACUCCUACGGGAGGCAGCAGUGGGGAAUUUUGGACAAUGGGGGCAACCCUGAUCCAGCCAUGCCGCGUGCGGGAAGAAGGCCUUCGGGUUGUAAACCGCUUUUAGCCGGGAAGAAAAGGCGGGGGCUAAUACCCCCUGUUUUUGACGGUACCGGCGGAAUAAGCACCGGCUAACUACGUGCCAGCAGCCGCGGUAAUACGUAGGGUGCGAGCGUUAAUCGGAAUUACUGGGCGUAAAGCGUGCGCAGGCGGUUCGUUGUGUCUGUGGUGAAAGCCCCGGGCUUAACCUGGGAAUGGCCAUGGAAACUGGCGGACUUGAGUGUGGCAGAGGGGGGUGGAAUUCCGCGUGUAGCAGUGAAAUGCGUAGAGAUGCGGAGGAACACCGAUGGCGAAGGCAGCCCCCUGGGCUAACACUGACGCUCAGGCACGAAAAGCGUGGGGAGCAAACAGG
rnacentral:rRNA from 1 species